AUAGUAAAGGCUAUUUCUUUGCUACAUUGUCACUUGGGGAGCUUGGAUCGAAAUUGAAGAUCACUGAGUGCAAGGCAUACUUGGAGAGUUCUCCAUUGGAGACAUGUAAAGUUCCCACCGAUGUCAACUACGGGAUCAGUGGUGCUCGUCUUUCUUCUUAUCGCCUCCUUGAGAAUAAGAUGAAGUUGUACACUGUGGGACCUUUCUUCUGCACCUCCCAACCUGCUAAACCACUCCCUAACGGUUAUUAAUUAAUGAAGCCACCUUCUAUAUGACGUCCGUUGAAAUGGCUGCAAA
rnacentral:lncRNA from 1 species